rnacentral:rRNA from 1 species
GAUGAACGCUGGCGGCGUGCCUAAUACAUGCAAGUCGAGCGAACAGACGAGGAGCUUGCUCCUCUGACGUUAGCGGCGGACGGGUGAGUAACACGUGGAUAACCUACCUAUAAGACUGGGAUAACUUCGGGAAACCGGAGCUAAUACCGGAUAAUAUAUUGAACCGCAUGGUUCAAUAGUGAAAGACGGUUUUGCUGUCACUUAUAGAUGGAUCCGCGCCGCAUUAGCUAGUUGGUAAGGUAACGGCUUACCAAGGCAACGAUGCGUAGCCGACCUGAGAGGGUGAUCGGCCACACUGGAACUGAGACACGGUCCAGACUCCUACGGGAGGCAGCAGUAGGGAAUCUUCCGCAAUGGGCGAAAGCCUGACAGAGCAACGCCGCGCGAGUGAUGAAGGUCUUCGGAUCGUAAAACUCUGUUAUUAGGGAAGAACAAAUGUGUAAGUAACUAUGCACGUCUUGACGGUACCUAAUCAGAAAGCCACGGCUAACUACGUG